GGUGGGAUGAAGGUGAGGUGAUGAUGAUGAAGAUGGGAUGAUGAUGAUGAGGGUGAUGAUGAUGGUGAUUGAUGAUGAUGAUGGUGAUGACAACGAUGACGAUGAUGAUGUGGAUGAUGAUGAUGGGAUGAUGAUAAUGAUGAUGAUGAUGAUGAUGAUGAUAUGAUGAUGACAAUGAUGGUGACGAUUGAUGAUGAUGAUGACGAUGAUGAUGAUUGAUGAUGAUGCUGAUGAUGGUGAUGAUGAUUAUGGGAUGAUGAUGAUGACAACGAUGAUGACAAUGAUGAUGAUGAUGGUGAUGACGGUGAUGAUGAUGAUUGAUGAUGAUGAUGAUGAUGAUGAUGAUGGUGAUGACAAUGAUGAUGAUUGAUGACGAUGACGAUGAUGAUGAUGAUGAUGGUGAUGAUGAUGAUGAUGGUGAUGACAAUGAUGAUGAUUGAUGACGAUGACGAUGAUGAUGAUAAUGAUGGUGAUGAUGAUGAUGAUGGUGAUGAUGAUGAUGAUGGUGAUGACAAUGAUGAUGAUUGAUGACGAUGAUGAUGAUGACGAUGAUGAUGAUGAUGAUGAUGGUGAUGAUGGUGAUGAAGGCCUCCCCCCCCAGGCGUGGAUCUGAUCUCAGCCUGUGACAUUCGCCUCUGCUCCCAGGAUGCCACGUUCCAGGUCAAGGUGGGGACACCCCAAAUGUCCCCAAGACCCCCUGGGUGUCCCCAAAGGCUGUGGGACCCCCUUGGGACCCCCCAGUGCCCCCCAGUGUCCCCCCCCCCCCCCCCCCCCCCCC
rnacentral:lncRNA from 12 species